rnacentral:rRNA from 1 species
UACAGAGGUGGCAAGCGUUGUUCGGAAUUACUGGGCGUAAAGGGCGCGUAGGCGGCCAUCUAAGUCAGACGUGAAAUCCCCCGGCUUAACCUGGGAACUGCGUCUGAUACUGGAAGGCUUGAGUAUGGGAGAGGGAUGUAGAAUUCCAGGUGUAGCGGUGAAAUGCGUAGAUAUCUGGAGGAACACCGGUGGCGAAGGCGGGUCUCUGGGCAGUAACUGACGCUGAGGAGCGAAAGCGUGGGGAGCGAACAGG